UGCCUCUUGGGAAAAAGCAGACUGUACUCCAGACAGAGACAAAGACAUGAGGACAUCCAUUGCUUUUAAGUCCUAUACCAGACUAUGUUGUUCCAGCUGUUUGGAUAAAGACUGAUACAUUACUGCCUCUUGGAGAACAGCAAACCAUUCUCCAGACAGAGACAAAGACAUGGACAUCAAAACAGAAAAUAAAGUA